AGACUGGAACGGGAAUAGAGCACCGAGGGCUGUACCCAGGGGCAGGGCAGAAGACCAGCCCACCCGCCCAGGGCCGAAUCACUCACUGGACCCGCCUCAGGUGAAGAAACUGUGCAACAUGCCCAGAUCAUACAACAAGGAAGUAAUGGAAUUGAGAUUCUAUCCUGGGCGCCAAGCCAUUGCUCUAAAUCUCUAUGCUGCACAAGAUACAGCUGAGUAAAGAUUAGUAACAACAACAAAAAAAAAAACAACAAAAAAAGACAAGUCCCAGGGAAGGUUCCUGUGAGUCUUUAUGAUCCACUGGCCAUAAAUUAGAGAGAGGCAAUGAAGACUAAAUGCGGAGAGAUCCAGUUUGCUUCCUAGUCUUAGUACAUUGCCAUCUAGGCAUGAGUAGUCUCCUUAUCUCCGUUGUCUGAGAAUGCUAUCUUCUGGCUCUGAGGUCCAGAGCCACUAAGAGAGAAUGCUGACUUGAUGUCAGAAAAUCAAGACAAGGUCUAGUUUAAUUAUGGAACAUGAAACAAAAACUUUACUCCUCUUUUAAAGUAAAAAUGCAAAUCUGUUCCGUUUUA